rnacentral:rRNA from 1 species
CGUGCAGGCGGUUUGUUAAGUCUAGGGUGAAAGCUCCCGGCUCAACUGGGAGAGGUCCUUGGAUACUGGCGAACUUGAGGGAUGCAGAGGAAAGUGGAAUUCCCGGUGUAGUGGUGAUAUGCGUAGAUAUCGGGAGGAACACCAGUGGCGAAGGCGGCUUUCUGGGCAUUUCCUGACGCUGAGACGCGAAAGCGUGGGAGCGAACCC